AAUCUUACAUUUAAAAUUAAAUUGCAAAUUUAAAAAUGAAAUAAUUUCUAAGAUUU
rnacentral:tRNA from 1 species